GCACCCGCGGUAAUUCCAGCUCCAAUAGCGUAUAUUAAAGUUGUUGCAGUUAAAAAGCUCGUAGUUGGAUCUCUGGGAGGGUGCCGAUGUCCACUUAACGUGUGCGCAGCGGCGCCCUCUCAUCCUUCUGUUAGCGUCUCUUGGCAUUCAUUUGCUGGUGGCGGGCUCAGAUAUUUUACCUUGAGAAAAUUAGAGUGUUUCAGGCAGGCUAGGCCGGAAUACAUUAGCAUGGAAUAAUGGAAUAGGACUACGGUCUCUUUGUUGGUUUGAGGGACUGCAGUAAUGAUUAAUAGGGAUAGUUGGGGGCAUUAGUACUUAACUGUCAGAGGUGGAAUUCUCAGAUUUGUUAAAGACUGACUUAUGCGAAAGCAUUUGCCAAGGAUGUUUUCAUCAAUCAAGAACGAAAGU
rnacentral:rRNA from 1 species